rnacentral:hammerhead_ribozyme from 1 species
AUCCCUCUGAAGAGUCCUAAAUAGGAUGAAACGCGCUUCCUGGAU